rnacentral:tRNA from 1 species
GCCUGGGUGGCUCAGUCGGUUGAGCGUCCAACCUCAGCUCAGGUCAUAGUCUCACAGUUUGUGGGUUCGAGUCCCGCAUCGGGCU